CCUACGGGUGGCAGCAGUGGGGAAUAUUGCACAAUGGGGGGAACCCUGAUGCAGCGACGCCGCGUGGGUGAGGAAGGACUUCGGUAUGUAAAGCCCUAUCAGCAGGGAAGAAAAUGACGGUACCUGACUAAGAAGCCCCGGCUAACUACGUGCCAGCAGCCGCGGUAAUACUUAGGGGGCAAGCGUUAUCCGGAUUUACUGGGUGGAAAUGGAGCGUAGACGGGGUGCCAAGUUUGAUGUGAAAGGUCGGGGCUCAACCCCGGGACUGCAUUGGAAACUGGCGUGCUGGAGUGCCUGAGGGGCAAGCGGAAUGCGUGGUGUAGCGGUGAAAUGCGUAGAUAUUAGGAGGAACGCCGGUGGCGAAGGCGGCUUGCUGGACGGUAACUGACGCUGAGGCUCGAAAGCGUGGGGAGCGAACAGGAUUAGAUACCCCUGUAGUC
rnacentral:rRNA from 1 species